rnacentral:rRNA from 1 species
UACGUAGGGGGCAAGCGUUGUCCGGAUUUAUUGGGCGUAAAGAGCUUGUAGGCGGCCGCACAGGUCCGUUGUGAAAACUGGAGGCUUAACCUUCAGACGUCGAUGGAAACCGUGCGGCUAGAGUCCGGAAGAGGAGAAUGGAAUUCCUGGUGUAGCGGUGAAAUGCGCAGAUAUCAGGAAGAACACCAAUGGCGAAAGCAGCUUUCUGGGACGGUACUGACGCUGAGACGCGAAAGCGUGGGGAGCGAACAGG